rnacentral:rRNA from 1 species
ACGGCUCAGUAACACGUGGACAACCUGCCCUUAGGACGGGGAUAAACCCGGGAAACUGGGUAUAAUACCCGAUAGGUCUCGAUUGCUGGAAUGCAUCGAGAUUUAAAGCUCCGGCGCCUAAGGAUGGGUCUGCGGCCUAUCAGGUAGUAGUGGGUGUAGCGUACCUACUAGCCUACGACGGGUACGGGUUGUGAGAGCAAGAGCCCGGAGAUGGAUUCUGAGACACGAAUCCAGGCCCUACGGGGUGCAGCAGGCGCGAAAACUUUACAAUGCUGGCAACAGCGAUAAGGGAACCUCGAGUGCCAGGUUACAAAUCUGGCUGUCGAGAUGCCUAAAAAGCAUUUCAUAGCAAGGGCCGGGCAAGACCGGUGCCAGCCGCCGCGGUAACACCGGCGGCUCGAGUGGUAACCGUUAUUAUUGGGUCUAAAGGGUCUGUAGCCGGCCGGAUAAGUCUCUUGAGAAAUCUGGCAGCUUAACUGUCAGGCUUUCAGGAGAUACUGUCUGGCUCGAGGCCGGGAGAGGUGAGAGGUACUUCAGGGGUAGGGGUGAAAUCUUGUAAUCCUUGAAGGACCACCAGUGGCGAAGGCGUCUCACCAGAACGGACCUGACGGCAAGGGACGAAAGCUAGGGGCACGAACCGGAUUAGAUACCCGGGUAGUCCUAGCCGUAAACGAUACUCGCUAGGUGUCGGCCACGGUGCGACCGUUGUCGGUGCCGUAGGGAAGCCGUGAAGCGAGCCACCUGGGAAGUACGGCCGCAAGGCUGAACUUAAAGGAAUUGGGCGGGGGAGCACA